UUUUUUCACAAGGUUGACCUCGGAUCAGGUAGGAAUACCCGCUGAACUUAAGCAUAUCAAUAAGCGGAGGAAAAGAAACCAACAGGGAUUGCCCUAGUAACGGCGAGUGAAGCGGCAACAGCUCAAAUUUGAAAUCUGGCCUUCGGGUCCGAGUUGUAAUUUGUAGAGGAUGCUUUGGGCGCGGUGCCUUCCGAGUUCCCUGGAACGGGACGCCUUAGAGGGUGAGAGCCCCGUACGGUUGGACACCAAGCCUCUGUAAAGCUCCUUCGACGAGUCGAGUAGUUUGGGAAUGCUGCUCUAAAUGGGAGGUAAAUUUCUUCUAAAGCUAAAUAUUGGCCAGAGACCGAUAGCGCACAAGUAGAGUGAUCGAAAGAUGAAAAGCACUUUGAAAAGAGGGUUAAAUAGCACGUGAAAUUGUUGAAAGGGAAGCGUUUGCGACCAGACCUUUUCCCAGCGGAUCAUCCGGUGUUCUCACCGGUGCACUUCGCUGGGUUGAGGCCAGCAUCGGUUUCCGCAGGGGGAUAAAAGCCUGGGGAACGUAGCUCCCUCGGGAGUGUUAUAGCCCCUCGCAUAAUACCCUUGCGGGGA
rnacentral:rRNA from 1 species